AAGACUCGCUUAUUUAUGGCACAAGAGGCGAUUUGUCAUCUCAACCAAUCCCUUCCAACCAGAUAUUCGGGCCGGCAAAAUCAUGACAAAGGAAAUCCGGGUUGCAGUCGCUCCUCUUCAUCGGAUAGGUCUAAUUCAAUAUUUCUAGGAGCUGCACAAAACGGCCAUGGGUGCAUCCAUCUCUAAUCUGUUUCGGCUUACAAGAAGUCCAUAUACAUUUGAAAGAAUGCGGAAUGGAUCAAUCAGAACAUAUAUUCAGGAGGUGGAGUGGCAAAAACCUGUUGGUCAACAUGGAAUGGAGAGCUGCCACUGAAGAAAACUGUAUCCACCAGUGCCUGGAUAUGUGCCAUGUGUCUUUUUUAGUCCUUUUUGAGUGUAGCAAUGUCUGGAGUGAAUAGCAUGUGUGGGGGAAAGUUGAUGAGUUGUUGUGAUGGAUCUGUGCCCGGCUGAAGAGGAUAUGUUCCGGUUCCAAUGCCAUUGAGCAUUUGAACGCAUUGUAACUGUUGGCAAGCUGGGAUAGUGGCUCUCAUAUUUGCAAUGAGAGUGAGAUUAUGGACGUCCCCAGAUGUGUGAGUUAAGCAGAAUUGCUUCAACAAUUUGGGAUUGGUGUCUCUUUGGCACGACAGGGAGAAUUUGUCGCCAAUAAACAACAAAUAGGACGAUGAUGCCACUAAUCCAACGCAAUAGUUCGCAACCCUGCUGAAAUGUCGGCUGGGUCAAAACUGACCAGAACUACUGUUGGGAACAAACAAGUUUUCCAAGUUUCCAAAUGGACCAAAGCAAACAUCACCAAAGCAAAUAUUUCCAAAUCCCAAAUCAAAAUCAAACACACAGGAAAUAGGGCUAGUCAGGUAAACGUCUUCAUGGACAACUGACGUUAUUCCAUGGAUUAAAAUCAAAGACAACAUGCCCAGCCAAACAGCAUUGUGCAUGCAUUGGAUUUUGACAUUUUUUCCAUUUUACAUGCUUGUCUAGGCAAUUAGCAUAGUGGUAUUGAGCCAAUUUGAUAGUGCGCACACUGAUUAACACCAAACAUGCUCAUUUAGUAGGGUUUUGUAACACAACUGGUUCAAAAUCACUCGAUUAUUGAAAAUUCAAGGGGCGAAUGGUGCGAUUUGACUGUGAUAUUUGUCUUAGUUCUCUCUCCCCAAAAUGCCCAAAAUCAGGGUGCCGACCACAUUUUUCCAUGAAUUUCCUUUACUUGACAUCCCCUAUGGAAGCGAGGGAUGGAGUUACGAAAGUAGAUGACUUAAAGGCAGGCAGGUUGAAGCAAAGAUCAAUGUUCACAACUAGUUAACAGCAGAUAGGUCUAUCUUCAUUGAAUUGGGCGUACUGACCAUAUUUUCUGCUUCAAUCUAUCUUAAGAAAACGACAAACGAGUCCAAGAUUAGAACCAUAGCUUUCCUUUCUCUAUUAAUCAACUUUAUUUCUUAAAAUCACCGAUUAAUGGGGUGACUAUUAGCUGAAAUCUAGAGCAUUGACAUCAAAUUCUUGAGACAUGUUCAAAUAGGUUCCAAGCAACUCUGGUUCUCUUUUCAAAAGACAUUCAUAAAAGAAAAUUGGUUAUACCGACAA